rnacentral:rRNA from 1 species
UACGUAGGGUGCAAGCGUUAAUCGGAAUUACUGGGCGUAAAGCGUGCGCAGGCGGUUUUGUAAGUCUGUCGUGAAAGCCCCUGGCUCAACCUGGGAAUUGCGAUGGAGACUGCAAGGCUAGAAUCUGGCAGAGGGGGGUAGAAUUCCACGUGUAGCAGUGAAAUGCGUAGAGAUGUGGAGGAACACCGAUGGCGAAGGCAGCCCCCUGGGUCAAGAUUGACGCUCAUGCACGAAAGCGUGGGGAGCGAACAGG